UACGUAGGGUGCGAGCGUUAAUCGGAAUUACUGGGCGUAAAGCGUGCGCAGGCGGUUGUGCAAGACAGAUGUGAAAUCCCCGGGCUUAACCUGGGAAUGGCAUUUGUGACUGCACGGCUAGAGUGUGUCAGAGGGGGGUAGAAUUCCACGUGUAGCAGUGAAAUGCGUAGAUAUGUGGAGGAAUACCGAUGGCGAAAGGCAGCCCCCCUGGGAUAACACUGACGCUCAU
rnacentral:rRNA from 1 species